CCAAACUUGGUCAUUUAGAGGAAGUAAAAGUCGUAACAAGGUUUCCGUAGGUGAACCUGCGGAAGGAUCAUUAAUAAAUUUGGCCGACACUCGUGUCCAAGGCCCCACACUGUGUGCACCGUUAUCGUUUUUUUUGGCAGGGGCUUGGAUCUUUUAUCAGAGUCCAACUUUUUCUCCGACUUGAUCUCCGUCGGAUAUGAAGCAGUACCCUGCCAAGUAACACCUGAAACACGCUUUUUGUCUGAAACAUUCAUUUUUGCGAUUAUAUUACGCAUAAUCCAAAACAUAACUUACAACAACGGAUCUCUUGGCUCUCGCAUCGAUGAAGAACGCAGC
rnacentral:misc_RNA from 1 species